rnacentral:rRNA from 1 species
CCCUUAGAUGUCCUGGGCCGCACGCGUGCUACACUGACGCAUACAGCGAGCACUUUCCAGUUCCGAGAGGCUACUGGUAAUCAUCAAUAUGCGUCGUGAUGGGGAUAGAUCUUUGGAAUUCUGGAUCAUGAACGAGGAAUGCCUAGUAAUCGCAGGUCAUUAGCCUGCGAUGAUUAAGUCCCUGCCCUUUGUACACACCGCCCGUCGCUACUACCGAUUUCGAGUGGUCAGGUGAAUCUUUCGGACUGUGGGCGCCCUUGAGGUGUUCGCGGAAAGUCAGGUAAAUCUUAUCACUUAGAGGAAGUAAAAGUCGUAACA